UACGUAGGGUGCAAGCGUUGUCCGGAAUUAUUGGGCGUAAAGAGCUCGUAGGCGGCUUGUCACGUCGGUUGUGAAAGCCCGGGGCUUAACCCCGGGUCUGCAGUCGAUACGGGCUAGCUAGAGUGUGGUAGGGGAGAUCGGAAUUCCUGGUGUAGCGGUGAAAUGCGCAGAUAUCAGGAGGAACACCGGUGGCGAAGGCGGAUCUCUGGGCCAUUACUGACGCUGAGGAGCGAAAGCGUGGGGGAGCGAACAGG
rnacentral:rRNA from 1 species